GGGCUCGUGGUCUAGUGGUAUGAUUCUCGCUUAGGGUUACUACCUGAGCUUCUAUGCCUUGCAUGCGAGAGGCCCCGGGUUCGACUCCCGGCGAGCCCC